rnacentral:rRNA from 14 species
CUUGUUGCCAGCUCCCCGAUACUUUUCGCAGGCUGCCACGUCCUUCAUCGCCUCUGACCGCCAAGGCAUCCACCGUGUGCGCUUAUUCGCUUGACCAUAUAAC